ACAUGCAAGUCGAGCGGAGUGAUGGUGCUUGCACUAUCACUUAGCGGCGGACGGGUGAGUAAUGCUUAGGAAUCUGCCUAUUAGUGGGGGACAACAUUUCGAAAGGAAUGCUAAUACCGCAUACGUCCUACGGGAGAAAGCAGGGGAUCUUCGGACCUUGCGCUAAUAGAUGAGCCUAAGUCGGAUUAGCUAGUUGGUGGGGUAAAGGCCUACCAAGGCGACGAUCUGUAGCGGGUCUGAGAGGAUGAUCCGCCACACUGGGACUGAGACACGGCCCAGACUCCUACGGGAGGCAGCAGUGGGGAAUAUUGGACAAUGGGCGCAAGCCUGAUCCAGCCAUGCCGCGUGUGUGAAGAAGGCCUUAUGGUUGUAAAGCACUUUAAGCGAGGAGGAGGCUACUGAAGUUAAUACCUUCAGAUAGUGGACGUUACUCGCAGAAUAAGCACCGGCUAACUCUGUGCCAGCAGCCGCGGUAAUACAGAGGGUGCAAGCGUUAAUCGGAUUUACUGGGCGUAAAGCGCGCGUAGGCGGCUAAUUAAGUCAAAUGUGAAAUCCCCGAGCUUAACUUGGGAAUUGCAUUCGAUACUGGUUAGCUAGAGUGUGGGAGAGGAUGGUAGAAUUCCAGGUGUAGCGGUGAAAUGCGUAGAGAUCUGGAGGAAUACCGAUGGCGAAGGCAGCCAUCUGGCCUAACACUGACGCUGAGGUGCGAAAGCAUGGGGAGCAAACAGGAUUAGAUACCCUGGUAGUCCAUGCCGUAAACGAUGUCUACUAGCCGUUGGGGCCUUUGAGGCUUUAGUGGCGCAGCUAACGCGAUAAGUAGACCGCCUGGGGAGUACGGUCGCAAGACUAAAACUCAAAUGAAUUGACGGGGGCCCGCACAAGCGGUGGAGCAUGUGGUUUAAUUCGAUGCAACGCGAA
rnacentral:rRNA from 1 species